CUCGACACCGCCCGACGUCCCCUUGAUACCAUUCGCCACCCUCGACACCGAAGAAACUCACCUCCUCCAGCUUCAAUCGCAGAAGGUGGGAGACAACCAUUGGACUGGGCAUCUUUACUAGGAGUGGCUAAAGGUAUUGCGCACAUCCAUUCGGCCAGAGGCGGGAGGUUUAUCCAUGGCAACAUACCUUGAAGGUUGCAUCCCAGAGUUUGGCCUGACUUCUCUGAUCCGCACUCCUAUAGUGCCUCCGAGAACUAGAAGUGUAGGUUAUCGGGCUCCUGAAGUCAUGAAAACUAAGAAACCCACACAAAAAUUAGACAUUUAUAGUUUUGGAGUACUGCUCUCUUUGAAGGAUUGUCAAGAUGUCGGACCCCAUUAUGGUGUGUUCAAGCUAUUUUUCUGUGUUAAUCAUGAUUUGAAGGAUAAGCUAAAAAAAAAAAAAGAGUGAGGAUUAAGAGGUAUAAGAUUGUUUAUUA